AUGAUGGUUAUCGCAGUAACAGAAGAUUUAGACCAAAGAAUAUAACAGUCACUCGAUACGUUUUUGCGAAUAAAUACCAGUUUUGAAGACUUUGAGAUAAAGCUGAACGGAGACCGAGCCAAAAGAAAAAGCUAUCCUGUGACGCUAACCAGCUUGAAAUGGAAAUUUGGCCUGCCUGCCUUUGUCACAGCAUAAUUUCAUUGCUCAUGACCGCUGAAUUCAUCAUUCCAUUCACCACGGGUGCAUGCAGUGACGGCAAGUGUCCCGUUUCAUUCCAUUUCACUAUUGGAAGGAAUAUGGUAGAUGGGCACGCUCUGCUUGAUCACGUGUUUGCAACUGUCUCUGUGACCAGAGUGAUCGAUUGUUUCAGCGCAUGUCAAACCAACUGUCGUUGUAUUUCGUUCAACUUCCUGACACAUUCCAACCAAGAUAACUGUCAACUGAAUGAAGAAAACCGACAUCUGAAGCCUGGUGCUUUAAUUCCCAUGGAAGGCUCUCAGUACUACGAUCUGGAUAUCAUCUAUC